AACGUAGGUGGCAAGCGUUAUCCGGAAUUACUGGGCGUAAAGGGUGUGCAGGCGGGGGAACAAGUGGUGUAUGAAAUCUCCCAGGCUUAACUGGGAUAGGUUAUGCCAGACUGUUCUUCUAGAGGACGAGAGAGGGGGGUGGAAUUCCGGGUGUAGUGGUGAAAUGCGUAGAGAUCCGGAGGAACACCAAUGGCGAAGGCAGCUCGCUGGAACGGUACUGACGCUGAGGCGCGAAAGCGUGGGGAGCAAACAGG
rnacentral:rRNA from 1 species